rnacentral:rRNA from 1 species
UACGGGGGGGGCAAGCGUUGUUCGGAAUUACUGGGCGUAAAGGGCGCGUAGGCGGUUUGCUAAGUUGAAUGUGAAAACUCUGGGCUUAACCCAGAGCCUGCAUUCAAUACUGGCAGGCUAGAGUUCUGGAGGGGAUAGCGGAAUUCCUGGUGUAGCGGUGAAAUGCGCAGAUAUCAGGAGGAACACCGGUGGCGAAGGCGGUUCUCUGGGCCUUACCUGACGCUGAGGAGCGAAAGCGUGGGGAGCAAACAGG